rnacentral:rRNA from 1 species
GAUGAACGCUGGCGGCGUGCUUAACACAUGCAAGUCGAACGGGAAUUAUUUUAUUGAAACUUCGGUCGAUAUGAUUUAAUUCUAGUGGCGGACGGGUGAGUAACGCGUGGGUAACCUGCCUUGUACAGGGGGAUAACAGUCAGAAAUGGCUGCUAAUACCGCAUAAGCGCACAGAGCUGCAUGGCUCCGUGUGAAAAACUACGGUGGUAUAAGAUGGACCCGCGUUGGAUUAGCUUGUUGGCAGGGUAACGGCCUACCAAGGCGACGAUCCAUAGCCGGCCUGAGAGGGUGAACGGCCACAUUGGGACUGAGACACGGCCCAGACUCCUACGGGAAGCAGCAGUGGGGAAUAUUGCACAAUGGGGGAAACCCUGAUGCAGCGACGCCGCGUGAAGGAAGAAGUAUCUCGGUAUGUAAACUUCUAUCAGCAGGGAAGAGAUUGACGGUACCUGACUAAGAAGCCCCGGCUAACUACGUG